rnacentral:rRNA from 1 species
CUACGGGUCGCUCCAGUGGGGAAUAUUGCACAAUGGAGGAAACUCUGAUGCAGCAACGCCGCGUGGAGGAUGACACUUUUCGGAGCGUAAACUCCUUUUAUAUAGGAAGAAGAUGACGGUACUAUAUGAAUAAGCGCCGGCUAACUCCGUGCCAGCAGCCGCGGUAAUAUGGAGGGCGCAAGCGUUACUCGGAAUCACUGGGCGUAAAGAGCGUGUAGGCGGAUUAAAAAGUCAGAAGUGAAAUCCUAUAGCUUAACUAUAGAACUGCUUCUGAAACUCUUAAUCUAGAAUAUGGGAGAGGUAGAUGGAAUUCCUGGUGUAGGGGUAAAAUCCGUAGAGAUCAGAAGGAAUACCGAUUGCGAAGGCGAUCUACUAGAACAUUAUUGACGCUGAGACGCGAAAGCGUGGGGAGCAAACAGGAUUAGAUACCCUUGUAGUC